GACGAACGCUGGCGGCGUGCCUAAUACAUGCAAGUCGAACGCUUUUUCUCUCACCGGAGCUUGCUCCAUCGAAAGAAAAAGAGUGGCGAACGGGUGAGUAACACGUGGGUAACCUGCCCAUCAGAAGGGGAUAACACUUGGAAACAGGUGCUAAUACCGUAUAACACUAUUUUCCGCAUGGAAGAAAGUUGAAAGGCGCUUUUGCGUCACUGAUGGAUGGACCCGCGGUGCAUUAGCUAGUUGGUGAGGUAACGGCUCACCAAGGCAACGAUGCAUAGCCGACCUGAGAGGGUGAUCGGCCACACUGGGACUGAGACACGGCCCAGACUCCUACGGGAGGCAGCAGUAGGGAAUCUUCGGCAAUGGACGAAAGUCUGACCGAGCAACGCCGCGUGAGUGAAGAAGGUUUUCGGAUCGUAAAACUCUGUUGUUAGAGAAGAACAAGGAUGAGAGUAGAACGUUCAUCCCUUGACGGUAUCUAACCAGAAAGCCACGGCUAACUACGUGCCAGCCGCCGCAGUAA
rnacentral:rRNA from 1 species